AAUAAUUGGAUAAAAGCUCAACUUUAUUUAAUAGAAUGGUAGUCUAUAAAUGACAAGACUCCAUAGAUUUUUACAAAGUUGAAAAUGGUAAUUUAUAUGGAAAAGGGUCACAUUGAAUACAAAUGAUCUUAUUCCUUCAACCAACUUUUGAUGUCCUCUAUGCUCUUGACCGCUGCCGAGAUGAUGAAUCAAUGUCAACCCUUGUGCUCAAAGUUUCUCCAAAAUUUGAAGAUUAGCAUAAUGUAGUUACUUGCCAUAAUCCCUAAUUUUUU
rnacentral:lncRNA from 1 species